rnacentral:rRNA from 1 species
CUACGGGGCGCUGCAGUGGGGAAUAUUGCACAAUGGGCGCAAGCCUGAUGCAGCCAUGCCGCGUGUAUGAAGAAGGCCUUCGGGUUGUAAAGUACUUUCAGCGGGGAGGAAGGGAGUAAAGUUAAUACCUUUGCUCAUUGACGUUACCCGCAGAAGAAGCACCGGCUAACUCCGUGCCAGCAGCCGCGGUAAUACGGAGGGUGCAAGCGUUAAUCGGAAUUACUGGGCGUAAAGCGCACGCAGGCGGUUUGUUAAGUCAGAUGUGAAAUCCCCGGGCUCAACCUGGGAACUGCAUCUGAUACAGGCAAGCUUGAGUCUCGUAGAGGGGGGUAGAAUUCCAGGUGUAGCGGUGAAAUGCGUAGAGAUCUGGAGGAAUACCGGUGGCGAAGGCGGCCCCCUGGACGAAGACUGACGCUCAGGUGCGAAAGCGUGGGGAGCAAACAGGAUUAGAUACCCCUGUAGUC